CAUCAGCAAUACCUUAUUUCUGACCAUUCCUGUUUCUCGAAGUCUGCCUUGAACCCUCACCGAUGGGUACAGGCAGUGAGGAGAAUCUGCACGUAUCUGAGGAAGCCGUAACUGAGAUUAUCAGAAAUCUCCUGUGGAAGUACAUAAGUGAACACUUCUGAGCUGCACACCACAGGGGACAUGCAAUUCCAAAAAGGGCACAGACA
rnacentral:lncRNA from 1 species